rfam:Brassica oleracea var. oleracea cultivar TO1000 chromosome C9, whole genome shotgun sequence
AGAAUAUAAGAACCCGUCUCUCAACUUUUAACUAAAAAAACUAAGAACUGACUCUUAAAUAAGAGUUUUAAAAACCGGUUCUUAACUUUUAACUAAGUUAAAAAUUAAGAGACGGGUUCUUAUACUCC